rnacentral:rRNA from 1 species
AGAUUGAACGCUGGCGGCAUGCUUUACACAUGCAAGUCGAACGGUAACAGGCCGCAAGGUGCUGACGAGUGGCGAACGGGUGAGUAAUGCAUCGGAACGUGCCCAGUCGUGGGGGAUAACGCAGCGAAAGCUGUGCUAAUACCGCAUACGAUCUAUGGAUGAAAGGCGGGGGACCGAAAGGCCUCGCGCGAUUGGAGCGGCCGAUGUCAGAUUAGCUAGGUUGGUAGGGGUAAAGGCCCACGAAGGCGACGAUCUGUAGCUGGUCUGAGAGGACGACCAGCCACACGUGGAACUGACGACGACGGUCCAGACUCCGUACGGGAGGCAGCAGGUGGGGUAAUUUUGGAACUAAGUCGGGGAC